UUGGUUAAGCUCUUAGGUUAAAAAACGUAUCCUAGAAAGUAAAUUAAUAUUCGCAUUCCUGACAAACGUUCUACUAACCACACCUCUAAUAAAGGAUUUUCAGUGACUAUUAGCGACAGCACCAAGAAGAAAAACAAGAUGCGUGUGCCGGGCGCUGUCCGCUCCCUCUCAUCUUCCACCCGCCGGAACCUUCUGCAAGAAGGGGAGGAGGAUGACUCGAGCAAAGUAAGGAAGAAGGGAAGAGUAUUUGCACCACCGGGUGGACUACCAAACCUGAACUCUCGGGAGGAAGAGAUUUUGCCCCAGUGAGAUAAUCAGGCUUUCCUCGACCCCAGCAGAUUCUCAGGGAACCCAGCUUCAACGGUCUUACAUCCCAACAAACCUUAUGCUCCUAACUCCAUCUCAAGGUCUCUAUCACAGAGGACCCAGCUAACUCAGUGGCCAUACUUGGCCAUAGGAUUGAAGAGAAGAGGAAACCAAUCUGUAUAUAGAUAAAAAGAGAGGAGAGGAAG